UACGAAGGGUGCAAGCGUUACUCGGAAUUACUGGGCGUAAAGCGUGCGUAGGUGGUGAGUUAAGUCUGUCGUGAAAGCCCCGGGCUCAACCUGGGAAUGGCGAUGGAUACUGGCUCGCUAGAGUGCGGUAGAGGAGAGUGGAAUUCCCGGUGUAGCAGUGAAAUGCGUAGAGAUCGGGAGGAACACCGGUGGCGAAGGCGGUUCUCUGGGCCUUACCUGACGCUGAGGAGCGAAAGCGUGGGGAGCGAACGGG
rnacentral:rRNA from 1 species